rnacentral:piRNA from 1 species
UUGCUCCAAAGCUAAGCGAUCUAGAUGUGU